rnacentral:rRNA from 1 species
UACGAAGGGGACUAGCGUUGUUCGGAAUUACUGGGCGUAAAGCGCGCGUAGGCGGAUUUGUAAGUCAGGGGUGAAAUCCCGGGGCUCAACCUCGGAACUGCCUUUGAUACUGCAAAUCUCGAGUCCGAUAGAGGUGGGUGGAAUUCCUAGUGUAGAGGUGAAAUUCGUAGAUAUUAGGAAGAACACCUGCGGCGAAGGCGGCCUUCUGGACGAUGACUGACGCUGAGACGCGAAAGCGUGGGGAGCAAACAGG